AAAACAAAAGCAUGGAAAGGUUUAUGAUUUUUUUGUAGUUGUAAAUAAACCUGAUCAUCAUUUUAACUUUUAAAUCCCGUUAUUGUCCCUUUUUGCACACGUGCCCAACUCCCCAGGAAGAGUCGUAACACCACUCGCCUCACGCACAUAAGUGACCAAAACAAAGCAGUAUGGAGACACUCCGUCUUCUACCACCUCUCAGGCAGCAGCCUGCACUCCCAAGUUCUACACGUCACCAGAACAUAACCAACCGCAACACAAUAAAAGCAGUGUUAUACAAAAUGGAAGGCCUGUAGUGUUUAUUCUCUUACAGUAACAAUUUAUCACUUUUUUUGAGGAAUUUAUUAAGAGAUUUUUUGGUUUUUAUUAACUGUGCAAUAGAAAAAUAAUCAUUAGAUUAAUUGUCUUAAUAGUCAUUAGAAUAGUCGACUAUUCGAUAAAAUAAUCGUCAGAAUAAUCGUUUUAAAAAUAAUCGUUUACCCCCAGCCCUAAUGUUUAGAAAGACGACAUCACUUUUGGAAGUGAAGAUAAAAGCUUUUUUAAAGCCACUAGGAUAAAUCCGUUUCAUGCUUCAUGUUUUCACCACCGCUUCAAGUUUGUUACGAACGCUCCCGCCUCUUCUCUUCUUAUUUGUGCUCUUAUGGCACUUGGCAAACAACAAUUUGCAUUUGCAUUACCGCCACCAGCUGGAUUGGAGUGGAAUGACUACCAUCACUUCCUGUUUUAAAGGAAUAGUCCAUUGUGGCAUUAACAGAGGGGUGCCAGCAGUCAGGGCUAGGGGGCCCCCAACAUAAGGGAGCCCCAGGCGGCCGCCGACCUAUGCCUAAUGGUAAAACCGCCACUGUUGCUGCUUAAUAUUGUUGAAACACUGUAGAUUACAUGGGUUAAAUAAGAAAGAUGAGAUUCUGAACUAAGAUAAAAUGAAACAAGGAAACGGCUCUCCUGGUAAAUCUAGCCAAGCAACCUUCUCAGUCAGAGGAAUCUAGAUUCAGCCGGGAAAUUGUCGUUUGGCAAAAUCACCACUGUUUGGUUUCAUGUAAUUGUCUGUAGUUGUUUUUGUUUUUACCAGGUGCUUCGGUCAUCCAGCUGAGUUUUGGCUGUGAUUGGGAUGAUGAGACUGGAAGGGUUGAUGGUUUUAAAAGAUACGCCUAUAAUGGAGAAAACGUCCUUUCUUUUGAUACGGAGACCGAGACGUGGAUUGCUUCUAACCCUCAAGCUGAAAUCAUCAAAGAAGAGUGGAAUAAAAAUAAAACGGAUAUUGGAAGAAUUUGCUGACCACAGACUGCCUUCAGUGGCUGGAGAUGUGUUUAAAUGCUGCUAAGAGGUUUCUGCAAAGUAAAGAAAAUCCUGCUGGAAUGAGCGUCGCCAUCAUCGCUGUGGUGGUUGUUCUCGUUGUCGUCCUCAUUCCUGCUGUUGGAUUCGUUCUUUAUAAGAAGAAGAAGAAAGAUGAGAUCAGCAGCUCAGAUCAUGGAAACAUCCCUGAGCUCUCUGAGAGACUCAACCCAGAACCUGAAUCCGGAUCAACAAACGCUUCACAGUGAAGUCCCGCCUCUCCCGUUACAAGAGAUUAUUUCAUUGUUUCACCAGAUAAAUGUCAUAAAACUGCUUUUACCAUUAGAAAAUAUGUCUCACCAAAUGAAAAGGUAUUAAAUAAGAAAAGGAAAAUUUAUCUAAAACAAGUUUAUUCUCUUUCAACGAAACAAUGAGAAACUGUGUUUCAUACAAACAGAGCUAGAUUUAUCGUUUAGGGUGCAUCUAACUUAUAAUCUGACUGUUUUAAUUUGCAACAAUGAGAGCAUUUUCUCAUAUUUCAGCUGCUAAAAUACUUUUUGUUUGUGUUGGCAGCAUUUGAUAUUUGAAUUAAGUUUAAAAAUGUCUGAGAGCCAUGUGUGUUUCAUAAGUUGACCACUAGAGGGCAGAAUAUUUUAGACGUUUUUCUAACAAACAGCAAGUUUUACAAACAGAAUUAGAUGUCGCUUCAUAUGAAUAAAAGUCCUCCGUUUUAGCGUCGUUCUUCUUAGAUGGUCAGUUUUCCUUUAGAAUAAAGUCAUUUUCUGGAUUUAA